rnacentral:rRNA from 2 species
UAGAGUGUUUAAAGCAAGCUAACGCUUGAGUACAUUAGCAUGGAAUAAUGAAAUAGGACGUUCGAUCCUAUUUUGUUGGUUUCUAGGAUUGACGUAAUGAUUAAUAGGGAUAGUUGGGGGCAUUAGUAUUCAAUUGUCAGAGGUGAAAUUCUUGGAUUUAUUGAAGACUAACUACUGCGAAAGCAUUUGCCAAGGAUGUUUUCAUUAAUCAAGAACGAAAGUUGGGGGCUCGAAGACGAUCAGAUACCGUCCUAGUCUCAACCAUAAACGAUGCCGACCAGGGAUCGGACGGUGUUAUUUUUUGACCCGUUCGGCGCCUUACGGGAAAC